rnacentral:rRNA from 1 species
ACGUGGAGGUAGGGAAGGGGGGAUCGCAAGACCUCUCGCUAUUGGAGCGGCCGAUAUCAGAUUAGCUAGUUGGUGGGGUAAAGGCCUACCAAGGCUACGAUCUGUAGUUGGUCUGAGAGGACGACCAGCCACACUGGGACUGAGACACGGCUCAGACUCCUACGGGAGGCAGCAGUGGGGAAUUUUGGACAAUGGGCGCAAGCCUGAUCCAGCAAUGCCGCGUGCAGGAAGAAGGCCUUCGGGUUGUAAACUGCUUUUGUCAGGGAAGAAAUCUUCUGGGUUAAUACCUCGGGAGGAUGACGGUACCUGAAGAAUAAGCACCGGCUAACUACGUG